CUUUCCAGAGAUGGAUUGGUGCCUUCGGGAACUGUGAGACAGGUGCUGCAUGGCUGUCGUCAGCUCGUGUUGUGAAAUGUUGGGUUAAGUCCCGCAACGAGCGCAACCCUUAUCCUUUGUUGCCAGCGGUCCGGCCGGGAACUCAAAGGAGACUGCCAGUGAUAAACUGGAGGAAGGUGGGGAUGACGUCAAGUCAUCAUGGCCCUUACGACCAGGGCUACACACGUGCUACAAUGGCGCAUACAAAGAGAAGCGACCUCGCGAGAGCAAGCGGACCUCAUAAAGUGCGUCGUAGUCCGGAUUGGAGUCUGCAACUCGACUCCAUGAAGUCGGAAUCGCUAGUAAUCGUGGAUCAGAAUGCCACGGUGAAUACGUUCCCGGGCCUUGUACACACCGCCCGUCACACCAUGGGAGUGGGUUGCAAAAGAAGUAGGUAGCUUAACCUUCGGGAGGGCGCUUACCACUUUGUGAUUCAUGACUGGGGUGAAGUCGUAACAAGGUAACCGUAGGGGAACCUGCGGUUGGAUCACCUCCUUACCUGAAAGAA
rnacentral:rRNA from 1 species